rnacentral:lncRNA from 1 species
GUGUAAAUGAGAAUUUAAUAAUUGGAGAAUGAUUUAUUAUCACACCAAAUAUUGAAAGUAUCCACUUCCUUUUUAAGACAUAUUUAUGCACAUUUGAUCAUGUUUUUUGAUUCAUACCUCAACAUUCCUGUGUUGAUAUUGUUUAUUUUUGAUCAUGAUGUUUGCCUGAAAUUUCUGUUCAUGAUCUGUUUUUGUAGAUUCUUUCCUUAAGACAGCCCCACAAGAAGUAAUCUAUUGAUAAGUCUGAUAAUCUGGGGGCCACAAAUUUUUGGAAAUAACACAAUUCGUGAAAAAACUGCUGAUGAGCAUCAUGAACUCAUUGGAGAUGUGGAUUGUGGCACCACUUUGCUGGAAGUAUCCCUGCAUAAUCUGUAUGUCACAUUGUUGCUCCAUGAAAGCUAUGAAAUUGACCAUGUACAUAUCAUUGAUCAUAGUUCCUUCAAAGAAAAUUGGUUUAUUGACUCUUACCAGAAAUUGCAUACCACAUGCCUAUCUUCAAUGGAUGAAGUGAUAUCUCAUAGAACAAUGAGGAUUUCUGAUACCCAAAUCCUCAUGUUUUGAGAAUUUACAUGUACUGAGAGAUGAAACAAGCUUCAUUAGUAAACCACAUCAUUGUCAAUAUUCCAAUGUUUCUUUUCACUAAGUCAAGAAACCAAUUGCAAUAAUAUACAUGCUUGAUUUUGUUAGGCCCUCUUAGCUGAUAUAUAGCUUUCACUCUAUAUGAUCUGAUUUUUCAUGGUUAACCAUUCUUUGACACAUUGUCAAAGAGUAGCCAAUCUCCUAUAACAAUUAGCAUAAUGAUUUCUGGAGGAGCAGAGUAGUCACUAAUGAACAUUUUCUGCAUACUGCAGCCCUCUUGAUGAUGGGUUGUGUUUCACUUUCUCAUUCAGGAAAUGAACCUAUUUCUUUCAGCUUCUUCACAAAUCUUAGAAUUAUCUUCUGGUCAAAACCAUCAAUAAACACCAUAUUCAUGUCAGAAAGCCUUUGCAUGAUCAGUAAUUCUUCAUAAUAAAUACACACUGUUUCAAUUUUUACAACAUAUUACUAUGUUAUAAAGUUACUGUCAAGAGAACUGGUGAGUUAAAGGCCAUCAACACCAGUUGCCACUAUUUGCAGAAAACUCCUACAUUUCAUGUACCAUAUGAAUUCAUUUACAUUUGAUUACCACACAUGGCUAUAAAGUUAUAACUAAUUAAAAAAUAGACUUCCCAUAUAAAUUUUAAAAAAGCA